ACUAUUUUGGCAGAUUAGUGCAAUAAAUUUAGAUUUUAUUUAAGUAAUAUUAAUUACAAAUAGUA
rnacentral:tRNA from 1 species